UACUUACUCCCUCCGUCCGGAAUUACUCGUCGCAUAAAUGGAUGAAAAUGGAUGUAUCUAGAACUAAACUAUGUCUAGAUACAUCCAUUUCUCCGACAAGUAUUUCCGGAUAGAGGGAGUACAAU
rnacentral:pre_miRNA from 1 species